AAUACUGUAAGUUCUUUCUUACUUUGCAAUCUAACAGUUACAUCCUUGAUGACGUAUGCAGCCUUCAAAUGCGACCUCCAAAGGACGCAGCCUUCAAAAUGAGACGCAGCUAAAGACUUCACUUCUUUCAUUACUGGAUGAAUCAGUGUUUCUGAACGAAUCUCUUGAAUGAAUGAUUCAAUGACAAAUACAUGUUUUUAACAGUCACUUGUCGCCACCUACUGGUAUAACGAUGUAACUGAUACAAUCUUUAUUUGAAGCAUCAAGUUACUUUCAAAAGGUGAUUUGCUCUAUUUUAAUCUCUACCGUAGACAUCAGUGUUUAUAUCCGAACUAUAAACGUUUAUCCAGUACUUCUGUGACAAUCUGAAUGAUUGUAAGACUGUUUCAUAACUAUACAUGACAACGCAGAUCUGAAUGUUCGCUGUGAUCGUACUUGUCAAAGCUUUAAAAGACAGAGACGAAUCGCUGUCAUUUAGGAAAAAGAUUGCGUGGGUAAUCGAGAUUAAACUUUUAGCUUCUAUCCAAAUAUUUAGAAACGAGCUGUACUGUAGUACAGUACGCCAACAAAAACAGAUGUUGUGAUGGAAAUUACAUACGCAGCAAGGUCAGCGAUCAGACACAGACCACAAAUCAUGUCUCAUAAAUGAAAAGCCUACAAUUAAAAACAUAACAUGUACCAGUUGAUGCUGUCAUGUGAUUCAAGCAGAUAAAUCACUGAUAUCAACAAGUGAUGGAGGCUUUCAGCUGUAACAAUCCUGAGGUACAGUAUGUACUUAGUAUGCACUGUUAAGUCAUUUUUACUGUAGAAUAACAACACGGUUUAAACCAAUAAGGUAUCACAUUUGAAACUCAUUAAAAAUCACAUAUAAAAACGUCUAAUAAACUGUUCCAUAAAAAAAUAAAAAAUAAAAUUCUGAUUAUUUUUUAAUUUGUCUGGGUUUACUGAUCAACCUAGAAUAAUUUCCCUCACAUUUUCCUCAAAAAAUGGCUCAAAAAAUGUGUCAUUUAUGUUUUAAGCGUAUGUUUGUUUCUCAGUGCAGUAAUUAGCACGACUAACAUUUGAAGUACACUAACUAUCUGCUAGUAACUAGUGAAGACACCGGAUCGACCCCUCCCCCACCCGCCUCAUCCUGAAGCAUGUGCUGCUGCAUCUGGCGGCUUCUUUCAGCAUGUAUUAGGACAAAAACAACAAGAAAUGAGCUCUUUUGAGUGUCCAUCACUUUCUGAGGUGGUCAACAAACACAUGCCGCCGUGGAAAUAAGACUUUAGAGGCGUUAGAGAUGGGAUCCGACCGCACCGAGAUGAUCUGAGGAAUUCUGUUCCCGGACUUCUCUUCCGCCGCGACUCGACUUCCUUCAGUUGUUUUGUUUGUUGUUUUAUCCCCUGAGACGGCAGUCAGAUCCAGUGCAGGUGGACCGAACAAUGAACACACCUGCAGAUGAUGGUCAUGUGAUCAGAGAUGCCACGGGUUCGUAAAUAUGGGCGGGAGUCUGAUGCCAGGAGACCGCUGAACAAAUAAGGAUUGCCCGCUGUUUUCUGACUCCAGACGCUGCCUGACGUCUACUUUCAAGGCAAGAAGCUUGGCAUCUAAAUCUGGCUGGGACAAUACUAUUGAUGCAUCGCAAUUCGUGGAUCGUUUCUGAUAUUUUCCAAAUGCAUCGCAAAUCGAUUCUGAGCUUAGUUUUUAACAGCAGAUGGCACUCUAGGCUAUUUUUUAACCGCAUGCUCAAAUGCUCAUGAAGAAGAGCGCUUGUGCGUUCGGCUGAGUCUUACAAUUAUGUAUUUGCACCUCAGAAUGCUUUUAUGAUGCGAGAUUAAUGUAAACAGCCCACUGCAAACACCCCUGUAAUUCAACCUUUUCAAACUUUAUGAAUGAUUAUUUUAUAGAAGGUUCAAGUGAUGUGUGUAAGGAAUUGGAAGAAAGCAGAAUACGGCUGUUUCUAAAGCAUGCAGUGCCAUCUGCUGUUGAAAACUAAGCUCAGAAUCGAUUGGAAAGAGAAUCGCGAUACAUACGGAAAAUAUCAGAAUCAAUCCAGAAUCAUUUCUCGAUUCACGAUGCAUCGAUGUUGUGACGAGCAGGGCGGGCGAGAGCCGUGAGGGAACGGCGCGAGGCCGGUGACGCGAGAGUUAACAAGCUCCACCUGUGAGGUGCACCGGCCUUGAGUCUCUCACGGAGGAGCUCCGGAAGCAUAAAAGGAGGAGCGACGACAGUGAAGGACGAGAGAGGACCAGGCCUGGACUUUAUUUUGUUUUAUUAUGUUUGUGUGGCCGGCAGACGUCCGCGAGGGUCUGCCGGCAUUACUUUCGUUUUGUUCUUUGUUUAUUUUAUUAAAGUUUAUUGUUUGAAUGUU